CCCUUAGAUGUUCUGGGCUGCACGCGCGCUACACUGACGCACGCAACAGGUGCCUGCUCCGAGAGGACUGGGUAAUCAUUUGAGUGUGCGUCGUGAUGGGGAUAGAAUAUUGUAAUUAUUACUCUUCAACGAGGAAUUCCUAGUAAGCGCAAGUCAGCAGCUUGCGCUGAUUACGUCCCUGCCCUUUGUACACACCGCCCGUCGCUCCUACCGAUGGGUGAUCCGGUGAAUGAUUCGGACUCGGUUGCCUCUAGCCACUAGUGGCGCUCGAGAAAGUUUUGGGAACCUUAUCACUUGGAGGAAGGAGAAGUCGUAACA
rnacentral:rRNA from 1 species